GAUGAACGCUGGCGGCGUGCUUAACACAUGCAAGUCGAACGAAGCACUUGGAUCUCUUCGGAGUGAUGAGUGACUGAGUGGCGGACGGGUGAGUAACGCGUGGGUAACCUGCCUCGUACAGGGGGACAACAGUUGGAAACGACUGCUAAUACCGCAUAAGCGCACAGCAUCGCAUGAUGCAGUGUGAAAAGCUGAGGCGGUGCGAGAUGGACCCGCGUUGGAUUAGCUAGUUGGUGGGGUAACGGCCUACCAAGGCGACGAUCCAUAGCCGACCUGAGAGGGUGACCGGCCACAUUGGGACUGAGACACGGCCCAAACUCCUACGGGAGGCAGCAGUGGGGAAUAUUGCACAAUGGGCGAAAGCCUGAUGCAGCGACGCCGCGUGAGCGAUGAAGUAUUUCGGUAUGUAAAGCUCUAUCAGCAGGGAAGAAAAUGACGGUACCUGACUAAGAAGCUCCGGCUAAAUACGUGCCAGCCGCCGCCGUAAUAC
rnacentral:rRNA from 1 species